rnacentral:rRNA from 1 species
GAUGAACGCUGGCGGCGUGCCUAAUACAUGCAAGUCGAACGCUGGAAAUCUAGCUUGCUAGAUUGAAGGAGUGGCGAACGGGUGAGUAAUACAUAAGCAACCUACCCACGAAGACUGGGAUAAUCUCUGGAAACGGGGACUAAUACCGGAUAGGUAAUCGGAAGGCAUCUGCUGAUUAGUAAAGGUUAAAAACACUGGUGGAUGGGCUUAUGGCGCAUUAGUUGGUUGGUGAGGUAACGGCGCACCAAGACGAUGAUGCGUAGCCGGACUGGGAGGGUGAACGGCCACAUUGGGACUGAGGCCCGGCCCCGAAUCCUACGGGAGGGAGCAGUAGGGAAUUUUCGGCAAUGGGGGAAACCCUGACCGAGCCACGCCGCGUGAGUGAUGACGGCCUUCGGGUUGUAAAGCUCUGUUGUAAGGGAAGAACGGUAGAUAGAGAAUAUCUAAAUGACGGUACCUUAACAGAAAGCCACGGCUAACUACGUG